AUGAGCGGCGGCGGCCCGGAGGCGGCGCCGCUGGAGUUCCCCUCCGCGGAGUGGCGGCGCGUGUACGAGCGGCUCCAGGGGCUGCUGCCGCGGGUGGAGGCGCUCGCCGCCGACCGCGCGCGCCUGGAGGAGGCCGUCACGCUGUCGGACGCCCGCGAGAAGAGCCUCCAUGCCCGCCUCCUCCAGGCGGAGGCGAGCAGGGAGAGGUGGAAGGCGGCCUACGCCCAGCUGCCUCCCGGUGCCAAUCCCAAGCUCGCUGAACUUCAAGAGCACGACUUGGUGGAUUCGGAAGCCCAUGAAGAAGCUCUUCCUGAUGCUGAUAACUCUCUACUGAAGGAGACUAGUCAAAAGCGCAGGAAGCUUACCAAUGAGGAGACUAGUCAAAAAAAGCGCAGGAAGCUUACCAAUGGGGAGACUAGUAAAGAAAAGCGCACGAAGCUUACCAGUGAGAUGCAUCUUGAACGGUGCACGAUGCAGAUCUUUGUCAAGAUCAACUGUUCAAUUUUUCUCAGAAACAGAAAGACCCACUGUUUAAAGACAAUCACUCUUGAGGUCAUGAGAUCAAAUACAAUCUACGAUGUCAAGGAAAAGAUACAAGACAAGGAGACUCAUGUUUGGCAGUGA
rnacentral:rRNA from 1 species